GACGAACGCUGGCGGCGUGCUUAACACAUGCAAGUCGAACGGAAAGGCCCUGCUUGCAGGGUACUCGAGUGGCGAACGGGUGAGUAACACGUGGGUGAUCUGCCCUGCACUUCGGGAUAAGCCUGGGAAACUGGGUCUAAUACCGGAUAGGAGCCAUUUUUAGUGUGAUGGUUGGAAAGUUUUUUCGGUGUAGGAUGAGCUCGCGGCCUAUCAGCUUGUUGGUGGGGUAAUGGCCUACCAAGGCGGCGACGGGUAGCCGGCCUGAGAGGGUGGACGGCCACAUUGGGACUGAGAUACGGCCCAGACUCCUACGGGAGGCAGCAGUGGCGAAUAUUGCACAAUGGGCGCAAGCCUGAUGCAGCGACGCCGCGGGGGGGAUGACGGCCUUCGGGUUGUAAACUCCUUUCGCUAGGGACGAAGCUUUUUGUGACGGUACCUAGAUAAGAAGCACCGGCUAACUACGUG
rnacentral:rRNA from 1 species